GACGAACGCUGGCGGCGUGCUUAACACAUGCAAGUCGAACGGAAAGGCCCUGCUUUUGUGGGGUGCUCGAGUGGCGAACGGGUGAGUAACACGUGAGUAACCUGCCCUUGACUUUGGGAUAACUUCAGGAAACUGGGGCUAAUACCGGAUAGGAGCUCCUGCUGCAUGGUGGGGGUUGGAAAGUUUCGGCGGUUGGGGAUGGACUCGCGGCUUAUCAGCUUGUUGGUGGGGUAGUGGCUUACCAAGGCUUUGACGGGUAGCCGGCCUGAGAGGGUGACCGGCCACAUUGGGACUGAGGUACGGCCCAGACUCCUACGGGAGGCAGAAGUGGGGAAUAUUGCACAAUGGGCGGAAGCCUGAUGCAGCAACGCCGCGUGCGGGAUGACGGCCUUCGGGUUGUAAACCGCUUUCGCCGGUGACGAAGCGUGAGUGACGGUAAUGGGUAAAGAAGCACCGGCUAACUACGUG
rnacentral:rRNA from 1 species